UACGGAGGGGGCUAGCGUUGUUCGGAAUUACUGGGCGUAAAGCGCACGUAGGCGGCUUUGUAAGUUAGAGGUGAAAGCCCAGGGCUCAACCCUGGAAUUGCCUUUAAGACUGCAUCGCUUGAACUUCGGAGAGGUAAGUGGAAUUCCGAGUGUAGAGGUGAAAUUCGUAGAUAUUCGGAAGAACACCAGUGGCGAAGGCGACUUACUGGACGAUUGUUGACGCUGAGGUGCGAAAGCGUGGGGAGCAAACAGG
rnacentral:rRNA from 1 species